UUAACAAGUCCAACGACUACUGCUGACGUGUGGGCUGUUGAAGAGUAUGUAAGUUUGUAAUAUGAUUCUACCACUUUAUGAUACCUCUUGUAAUGCACUUGAUCGGCACAAGCAGAGGCAACGUUUACCGGGACUGCCAUUGGGAGCCGUGUUGUGAAAAAGACCUCCUCUUCGGAGCACAAUUCUGAGAUCGCUGCGUUUGCACCGGACGAGAGUGCCGUGUACGAUAUCAGGCAGUUGGUGUCAUAUAGGGGGGAUGGCUUCCUCCCUUAUCACGCCAUUAAUCUUGUUGAUUCUGAUUUAUCUAGUGAGGUUAAAAUUAAAGUGUUUAAUACGUGCAGUAACAAUGUGAAUGUUCAGUGUAACGACGAGCUGAUGUGGACGAUGCAAUCCAAGCGGAACGAGUAGAAGAACUUGUUGCGGUAAAUAACCAAUAACACUAGAAUCACCGAAAACUGUGAGUACGUCUUGAUGCAUGUGAUCAGUUGAAUUUACAUGACGCGAGUUUGGUUCCCGGCGGCAGCCAUCUUGUCAGUGGCGUACCGGUAGAACCAUGAACUAGAGACAUACAAGAGUCGCGACUCG
rnacentral:misc_RNA from 1 species